rnacentral:lncRNA from 1 species
AAUCUCUCUUCAGCAAAGACAUUCUCAUGAAGGAAUGAGUUAUUCAAGAGAAGUUGCUACUGCGGUUGCCUUGCUUCUCAACAAUUUCUGCUGUGGGAGACGGAAUCUCAACAAUGACAAUGAGGAUACCAUUCAGCAAACAGAUUCAACUUCUCCUGCUGUUGAUGAGUCUUUUGUCACGUCCGAUUAUGCCGACCCCCCUGCUUCAUCUCCGUCAGUGAAUUCAACAUCCGUAGUUGAUGCCCUAUCGGAUUUCACAAAUCCCUCUGGUUCGUUUCCCUCGGUGGAGUAUGAGGUGUUUUUGAGUUUCAGGGGUCCAGAUACUCGAUAUCAAAUCACCGACUUCCUCUAUCGUUUUCUUCGUCGCACAAAGAUUCACACGUUUAAAGACGAUGAUGAGCUUCGCAAGGGAGAAGAGAUAAAGUCCAACCUCUUUAGAGCAAUCGACCAGUCGAAAAUUUAUGUUCCGAUCAUAUCAGAGGGUUACGCCGAUAGUAGAUGGUGUCUUAUGGAGCUUGCAGAAAUUGUCCGGCAUCAAGAAUUGGACACUCGACGGAUUAUACUUCCUACUUUUUAUAUGGUAGAUCCAAAAGAUGUGCGACAUCAGACCGGACCUUAUCGAAAAGCAUUUCAAGAACACGCGACUAAAUAUGAUGAAAUGACCAUACAGAGGUGGAAAGAUGCUCUAAAUAAAGUUGGAGCCUUGAAAGGAUGGCACGUCAAAAGCAAUGACGAGUAUGUAAUCCUCAUCCUAGCCUUUUAUUAUUUGUUUUGCAUAUUGAUUAUUGACUAAUUUUCAAAUUGCAUAUAAACAUUCUAGAAAUAUUAAAUUGGAAUCAGUUCACAACUGUUUUUAUUUUUCUUAAGGUUCCUUGUAAUUUCUAUAUAUAAUCCCCUCUAACCAAUCUUACGUAAGACUUAUAUGUAACAAAAAAUAUAAAGUUUAUAUUUACUUCAUAAAUUUAAUUUUUUAUGACUUUAUACAUUCAUUUUCUCUUCGAUUUAACAUGUACAUUAAUUUUUAAUAAAAAUAUAAUAUACUUUAAAAAAUUAAGUACACAGGGGCAAACAAACUAAAACCAAAUUUAUUUUUGAGCUACUAAAAAUCGGUAUAUUAUUUCAUACGAAGUUGACAUUUCAAAUAUACAUUUAAUUUCGUAGGCAAGGAGCUAUAGCAGAUGAAGUUUCUGCAAAUAUAUGGUCACAUAUAAGCAAGGAAAAUUUCAUUUUAGAAACUGAUGAGUUGGUUGGAAUUGAUGAUCACAUAGCAGCCAUAUUAAAAAAGUUGAGUUUAGACGCUGAAAGUGUGAUAAUGGUCGGUCUUUAUGGUAUGGGUGGAAUAGGCAAGACGACCAUUGCAAAGGCGGUUUAUAACAAGAUUUCUUCUUGUUUCGAUCGUUGUUGUUUUAUUGACAACAUACGUGAAACACAAGAGAAGGAUGGCGUUGUUGUUUUGCAAAAGAAGCUAGUAUCUGAAAUUUUGAGGAUCGAUUCGGGGUCGGUGUUGUUGUUUUGCAAAAGAAGCUAGUAUCUGAAAUUUUAAGGAUGGACUCGAUUGGAUUUACUAAUGAUAGUGGUGGAAGGAAGAUGAUAAAGGAGAAAGUUUCGAAGUCCAAAAUUCUUAUCGUUCUCGAUGAUGUUGAUGAGAAGUUUAAAUUUGAAGAAAUACUCGGCUGUCCUAAAGAUUUUGAUUCUAGGAGUAGAUUCAUCAUUACUUCAAGAAAUCAAAACGUCUUGAGUCCUUUGAAUGAGAAUCAAUGCAAGUUGUAUGAAGUUGGAUCGAUGAACCAACAACAUUCGCUCCAACUCUUCUCCAAACAUGCAUUCAAAAAGAUUAUGCCUCCAUUGGAUUAUGAGACACAAGCAAAUGAGAUUAUAUCGACUACAGGAGGACUUCCAUUGACUCUGAAGGUUAUAGGGGGGUUUGGGAAGAUACGUUGGAACAGUUACGUAAAACACUGAACCUUGAUGAGGUUUAUGAUAGUCUAAAAAUAAGUUACGAUGCGUUGAAGGUGGAGGCAAAAGAGAUUUUCUUGGAUAUAGCUUGCUUCUUCAUCGGCAAAAAUAAAGAACAGCCAUAUUACAUGUGGAGCGAUUGCAAUUUUUAUCCUAAAAGUAAUAUUAUUUUUCUCCUUCAAAGAUGUAUGAUACAAGUUGAAGAUGAUGGGGUAUUUCAAAUGCACGACCAACUUAGAGAUAUGGGUAGAGAAAUUGUGAGACGAGAGGAUGUGGAGCGGCCGUGGAAGAGAAGUAGGAUAUGGUCGAGCCAAGAAGGAAUUGAUCUCUUGUUGAACAAAAAGGUAUUUAAUUUUCUGUAAAAUUAGUAUUCAUAUAUACAUUUAAAUCACGUAACUCAUAAUUAUAUAUGUUGCUUGUCCAAUUACAGGGAUCAAGUAAAGUAAAAGCAAUUAGCUUACCGUCGACCUCGGAUAUGUAUUACUUGAAGAGCGAAUGUUUCUUGAAUUUGUCAGAGUUGAGAUACUUUGAUGCAAAAUCAGACUUGCUUACCGGAGAUUUCAAUAAUCUUCUCCCGAAUUUGAAGUGGCUUCAGUUGCCAGGUCACUAUCAUGAGAGGAUGAUCCUCCUUUGACCAAUUUUACUAUGAAAAAUUUGGUAAUUCUUGAUUUGAGGAAUAGCAAAACAUACUGGAGCCAUAUGAUUAAGGUGUGUGUUUAUUGCAGCUGUCACUCGUCAGUUAUAUUUUCGUCUUUGUUCUUCAUGUUUUUGUUUUAACUCUGCCUUAAUCUGGUUCUACAUAGAUGGCUCCGAGGCUCAAAGUUGUAAGACUUUCUUCCUAUUGGAACUACAAUAGACUUUCUUCCAUCUGUUGGCGCUUCCCCAAAACAUUGAGGUAUUAUCCAUGAGUGAGAUAGGAAUGAAGGAACUUGAUAUUGGGGAGUUAAAGAACCUAAAGACGUUGGUUCUGAUAAGAUGUGCAAUACAAAAGAUAAGUGGGGGAACCAUUGGUAUGUUGAAGGGACUCAUAGAGCUUCAUCUCAGCUCCAUCGAGUGUACAAAUUUGAGAGAGGUAGUUGCCGAUAUUGGUCAUCUUUUGUCUCUCAAAGUCUUGAAAACAACCGUAGGUAAGGAGGUUGGGAUGAAUGAAUUUCCAUUAGGUUUGAAGGAGUUAUCCACUUCAUCUCGGAUUCUGAAUCUUUCAGAUUUGUUGGAUUUGGAGGUACUGGUGGUUUGGCAUUGCAAGGAUGGAUUUGACAUCCUUCCUGCUAACAGUACUGAAGAUGAUGGUAGCGUGUGGUGGAAGGUAUCCAAGUUGAAGUCUUUGACACUCAGGAAUACAAGAAUCAAUAUAAAAGUUGUGGAUGAUGCUUCUUCCGGUGGUCACCUCCCUCGUUAUUUACUACCAACGUCCCUAACCUCUCUCCAAAUUGAUUGUUUUGAGGAACCAACGUGGCUUCCAAGAAUAGAAAACUUGGAGAAUUUGACUUUGCUGGAAGUCUACGACAUCUUCCAAACUCUUGGAGGUGAUUUGGAUGGGCUACAAGGGUUGAGAUCAUUGCAAACUCUUGAUCUCUGGAAAGUAAAUGGUUUAAUUCGGAUCAAAGGGCUUAAGGAUCUCGUGUUCUUCUACCUGCAAGUUGCGGAAAUUAUCUAUUACAGAAUGCUUUGACCUCAUUGAGUUACUCCCAUGCGAACUCGACGACCAAACAGUAGUAGUAGUCCCCUCUUUGGUGGAACUGACCAUUGUGGAUUGUCCACGGCUGGAGGUUGGCCCGAUGAUAAGAUCUCUCCCAAAGUUCCCAAUGCUAAAGAAGUUGAAACUGUUGAUGGUAAAAAUAGCUGAAGAGGAGGAUCUGGAUGUGAUCGGAUCCUUAGAAGAGUUGGUUGAUUUGGAGUUAGAGUUAGACGAUACAUCUUCCGGUAUAGCGAGGAUAACUUCUUUGUCGAAGCUUCAAAAGUUAACUACACUCAGAGUGAAGGCGUCGAGUUUGCGAGUGAUUGAAGGGCUUGCAGAGCUGAAGUCUUUACAAAGAUUGAAUCUAGAGGGAUGCACGUCGUUGGAGACACUGUGGCCGCCUGGGAAUCAACUACGUCUGGUGAAGCUGCAGUUGCUAGACAUCAAAGGAUGCCAUAGCUUGAGUGUUGAUCUUAUCUCUUCACUCAAUUCGACCGGUAAUCUACCCCCUGGUGUAAAGAUAAGAAGGAUUUGAUCUCUUGUUGAACAAAAAGGUAUUUCAUUUUCUGUAAAAUUAUUGUUCAUUUAAAUCACAUAACUCAUAAUUAUAUAUGUUCCUCGUCCAAUUACAGGGAUCAAGUCAAGUAAAAGCAAUUAGCAUACUGGAGAGCGGGGAUGUCAAGUACGAGUUUAAGCAAGGAAAAUUCUAUUUUAGAGACUGAUAAAUUGGUUGGUAUUGGUGAACACUCCUGUUGUGCAGUUCCAAGCACCUCAGUCUGUUAAAUGGAGACUCUUGUUCCUCCAGUAGAUCUAGGAACAUAGCCAGCGCCUGUAAACACAACACCAAACAUUUCAAUCAUCUAGUUUGUCAAUAAUUUCAAACAUAGCCAACGGACUGUAUAUACCAGCACCCUACCGUAAUGGCGUUAACUUGUAGCUUCACACGCUCGGCUUCUCAAAAGCUACGAAGCAUACAAACACAAGUUAAACUCGCUUGCCAAGUGGUACUGAAGUAGACAUCGAAAUUCAAACAUUCCAACUACGGGAGUCGCGGACUCGUAAACCGGGCCGGAUUUGCGCCCCUUGCACGUAAAAGACUUCAAAUUCUCCGCACGGAUUUCGACAUUGGGAUGAUAUGAUGGUAGCCCGUUCGAAUGUACCGACACGAUCCUAACCAAUUUAUCGCCCGAAAUGAUAAGUGAUCGACGAGACCCAAACUCGCAUUUGAUCACCUCCAAAUCGGUCAAAUUCGGACCGGACAAUGGCGAGUGAUGUAACAUGCAUCGGUACAAACGGACUGUUGUGAGCGCCUCCGAUAAUUUCGAAUUCCACAGCUGCCAAUCGUUUCCAGAGGACUGAUUUCCAGAGGUUUCGCCAAGGGCGGGAGAGGAGGGAUGUUUGGAUGGCGGUUGUCGUGUCGAGAUCGGCCGCUGUUAGUAUCUUGAUGAGGAUUUCAUGGGAAGGCUGCUGAUCCGAUCGGCUGCAGUUUGUUCUUCAGUCGUCUCCGCCAUCAUUUUCCUCCGUUUUUCAGCCAUUGUUAAUGAUCGGAUUAUUGGAAUUCCGUACUUGAAUAGGAUGAAUGAUUUACCGAAAAUACACAUUUGCACAAUUAUAUUAUGCAAAAUUUACAACGUAGUUUUAGAAUCCUGCUGUUCCCAAGUACUCCAUCUCCAUCAUUGCAUAUGAAAAUAUAGGAAGUAACGAAGAAAAGACAUAACCAGAAGAAUUGUGUAAAAUAAGUGAAUUUAUCUAGUCGAGGCAUCAUUGAUUUCGAAAAAAGAAUCCCUCCUGGAACCAACUAAUUUCACACAAGGAGAACAACACCCGGAGCAAGGACCCCAACAAUUUGGAAGAUAUCUUGAGAAAAGAGUUUAGCACCGGUGUAUCCUAUAUGUACUCGAGUUUACAAAUGGUUGGAUUACAUUGAAUUUGUGGAUCAAUAAUUGAAUUUGAAUGGACAUCAAGAUUACUGAAAGCCAGUGGGAGCUCAGAAGUAAGGGAUAAGCCAAGAAGCAAAGGAGCAGAGAGAAGAACCAGCAAAGCACAAGCAAAUUGAAGCAGGCAAGAUCAGUAACUGGAAAUUCCUUUACUUUUAUAUCUCUGCUUUCAAUUUCUAUCCUUCAGAUUAUUUCUGCUCAAUUAGUAAUGAGUUAUAUUUAUAUUUAUUUCAUUGAAGGAAUGAGUUAUUUAAGAGAAGUUGCUACUGCGGUUGCCUUGCUUCUCCCACUGAUUCUUCUCUACAAGUUGUUGUUUCGUUUCGAAGCAUUAAUCAUCAACAAUGACGAUAACGAGUAUACGAUUCAGCAAACAGAUUCAACGUCUGUAGUUGAUGCCAUACCCAACUCCACAAAUCCCUCUAGCUCGUUUCCCUCGGUGGAGUAUGAGGUGUUUUUGAGUUUCAGGGGUGUAGAUACUCGUUAUCAAAUCACCGACACCUUAUCACGUUUUCUCCAUCACGCAAAGAUUCACACAUUUAUAGACAACAAUGAGCUUCACAAGGGAGAAGAAAUAAAGCCCAGUCUUCUAAGCGCAAUCGAUCAAUCCAAAAUUUAUGUCCCGAUCACAUCGGAGGGUUACACCGAUAGUAAAUGGUGUCUUAUGGAGCUUGCUGAGAUCGUUCGACACCAUGAGCACGACCCUCGACGCAUUAUACUUCCUAUUUUUUAUAUGAUGGAUCCAAGAGAUGUACGACAUCAUACUGGACCUUAUGAAACAGCAUUUCAAAAUUUUUUUAUCGUUCUCGACGAUGUGGAUGAGAAGUUUAAAUUUGAAGAUGUACUAGGAAGUCCUACAAAUUUCACUUCUGGAUGUAGAUUCAUCAUUACUUCAAGAGACCAAAAUGUCUUGAGUACUUUGAAUGCGAAUAAAUGCAAGUUGUAUGAAGUUGCAUCGAUGAGCCAACCACAUUCGCUAGAACUCUUCUCCAAGCAUGCGUUCAAAAAGAAUAUGCCUCCAUCGGAUUAUGAGACUCUAGCAAAUAUGAUUGUAUCGACUACGGGAGGACUUUCAUUGACUCUAAAGGUUAUAGGUUCACUUUUGUUCGGACAUGAGAGUGAGUCAAACGGUUAACCUUGGUCAAGUUUACGACAGGCUAAAGAUAAGUUACGAUGCAUUGGAUCAUGAGGCCUCUGAAUUGUUAGUUUAAUUUGAUCAUUAGAGUAAUUAGAAACCAAUCUCAAUCAUUUUAGUCUAGAUCGUGCUGUUAAAUUUGAGUAGAAACAUAACGAGAAAAACCCUUGGACACAUACGACACUCGAGUUGUCGAGAUAAUUUCUAUGUUAUUUUGACGACCAGUUAGUAUCUUGAUGAGGAUUUCAUCGGGAACGGUGCUGAGCCUGUCGGAGUUGGCGGCGGUAGUUUGUUCUGCCGGAUCAUUCUUAUAGUCAGAAUGAUCUCUUCAUUCUGGUUAUUAUAACUUUCUCUGUGCUUAGCUUCAUCCUGGCCAAAUUUCCUGUAAAGUUUAUACUUUUUUUUAACAAGUACAGUUUAUACUAUUGGCUUACACCUAUUGAUUAUUUGUUCAAUUUGCUCAUAAUACAAUAUUGAUUUUUUUUAAACCAUAACACAAUAUUAAUAACUCUAGUCUGUAUUUUUUUUAUGUAUUACAUGCAGAUUCUCUUACUAUCGAAACAAAAAAUUUCUGCAUUUUCAUAAAAUAACAUUUGUGAGUGGUGAGACAAAUUGGUGAGAUAUUAGGUUUUUUUUUAUAUAUUUCGUAUCCUUGCCGUGCAAAUGAAGGGACAUAUAUAUAUCUUCCAUCGUAUAUAUAUCUCUGAAUCCGUGUGUCAUUAUCCUCAUCUCAUUCUCGUUAAUGCCCGUAUUACUCUUCAACUGCCUAAUUGCACGUUAAGGUUGGCUCACGAUUUUAUCACUUCAUAUCGAAAAUGAUGCAAUGAGAAAACAUGAAUCUUCUUGCAGAAAAAGUGAGCUUACUAGGAAGAAGUUGAGUACUGCUGAUGUUUGUCUGAAACCGUGUGUGUAUAAAGGCUGUUUGAAAAAGAAAACAAGACCAUCUCCAUUCAAUUAUUGCUCAUUAUCAACAGUGAGUGGUCUGAAUUGAAAGCAGUAGCGAAUUUCCGAAAAUAUUGAUUGUGUUGAGUCAUAUUAGCUUUUGGUCCAUUAAGAAUAACAAAAAUUGAUAACUAAGCAAACGGAACUAUAAUAAAAUAAUAAUAAAUUAGUUCGUUGUUAAUGUGAUCGCAAACUAAAAAUUAUGGUUGUCCGAAGUAUUUAACCCUUCACAUAUUUAUUUUACAUCAGUUUUUUAAGCCCUUAUCAUCUAACCGUCGGCGAAUUUCCGAUAAGUCUUCAGCAAACUUCUGGCGAAUCAUUUGUACAUUGUAAAUUCCACAUUCUCUAUGAUUUUGCUCUAGAACAUGAACAAAAUAACUCGACGCGUUAAAGGUAGGUGGAGCUUAUUUUCAGCACAUGUUUAAGACGCCCUUUACUCUUCUCAAUGGUCUUCUUUAUUUUUCUUCUUUUUCUCGCUGGAAAUUGUCUGUGUCAUCUCGUCUUCUUUUUCUUCCUGUGAAACAGCAUUUAUUAUUCUUUCUCCAACUUCUUCUCCACCAACAUCACUUUAAUGGUGGUAGAUCUUGAACCUGAAUAUUCAAGGUUUGGUUUUGGUCUUCUCUUGGAUAUGCAACAGCAGAAAACAGAGGAGGAAAUGCAGAGUAAUGGUGCUGCAGAUUUGAAGGCACUGAACUUGACCAAAGUAAGCUAUCUGGGUUUCAAUUUCUAGACCUUCUUAGGGUGUUAGUAGUUUCAUGUUGUUGUAGACUACACUUGACUAUAAAUCUUGCUCAAAUUUAUGACUUGGUUUUUUAUAAACCAGAUCUAACUUCCCUAAGAGAUAGAAUGUUGUUGGUUUGGUCAUUCUUCAUCACCUCACUUUCAGAAUUAUACAUGUAUUUAUUUACAGGUGAGUAGCGUCGUGCCUAUUUGGAUUUAAGGCUCCAGUAGCAAGACAGCUCUUUGGAAAUCCCUCUUCAGCAAAGACAUUCUCAUGAAGGAAUGAGUUAUUUAAGAGAAGUUGCUACUGCGGUUGCGUUGCUUCUCAACAAUUUUUGCUGUGGGAGACGGAAUGAGGAUACCAUUCAGCAAACAGAUUCAUCUCCGUCAAUGGAUUCAACAUCUGUAGUUGAUGCCAUAUCGGACUCCACAAAUCCCUCUGGUUCAUUUCCUUCGGUGGAGUAUGAGGUGUUUUUGAGUUUCAGGGGUCCAGAUAC